UACGUAGGGUGCAAGCGUUGUCCGGAAUUAUUGGGCGUAAAGAGCUCGUAGGCGGUCUGUCGCGUCGGAUGUGAAAACCCAGGGCUCAACCCUGGGCCUGCAUUCGAUACGGGCAGACUAGAGUUCGGUAGGGGAGACUGGAAUUCCUGGUGUAGCGGUGAAAUGCGCAGAUAUCAGGAGGAACACCGGUGGCGAAGGCGGGCCUCUGGGCCGAAACUGACGCUGAGGAGCGAAAGCGUGGGGAGCAAACAGG
rnacentral:rRNA from 1 species